GUGCCGUGGAGUUUCAUCUCGAGACCCUGUAGCUGAGCCACUUGCAGCUGGGACAACACCUCCCUAUUUAGGUUUGGGGCUGCUGCCGAUGUCCAUUUUGUUUUGCAGAUGAGGAAACUGAGGCACUGGCAAGGCACUAGGGUCAAGAGAUUCUGAAGCCCAUGCUCCUCACCACCAUGCUUAGCUCAGUUAUUGAAGACUGUGUGAAAUGGCUGAACCUCUUCUUCAUGCCUGAGGUCAUCACGAUGAACAUAACAUCAUCAUGUGUGGCAUCCCAUGUGGGACGCUGUAGCUGCUGCAGUGUCUGGUGCAUGAAGAGCGCACGGUUGCGGGAUCGCUGUGGUCCAGGUGGGGUCCUGCUAGUGGGCUUUACCGGUCUCUACAACCAGCGGUGCAUGCAUCCAACCAAUAAUUUAACAUCAAACUACACAUCUACCAACUUCAUGUACCUAAGGAGUGGAAUGAUAGCAAGAACUCCGCCUUGAAAACCUUGAGCCUUCAGAGAGACCGAUUUGAAUAAGAACUCCAUCUCCUGUGUGGCCUGCCUUACUGCAAUUAAACUCUUUCUUUAUUGAAACAAACAAAAAAACCCAAAACAUAAAAAACGAACAAAAUCCCUUCAAUUAGUGAUUAAUCAUCUCCCCCUAGUGGUAGAAGGGUGUAUAGGAAAAGUAACCAAGCAAAAACCAAAACUCCCAAAUGCUCUUCAGAAAAAACCUACACCCAGCCUGGGCAGUACAGCGUGACCCUUGUCUCUACUAAAAAUAAACAAAUUAGCAGGGCCUAGUCCCAGCUACUCGGGAGGCUGAGGUGGGAAGAUCGCUUGAGCCCAGGAGUUCAAGGCUGCAGUGAGCUAUGAUUGUACCAUUGCAUUCCAACCUGGGGGACACAGCACGUCCUCAUCUCUAAAAAAACAAAAACAAAAACAAAAAACAGAAAAGACAUGGGC
rnacentral:lncRNA from 1 species